rnacentral:rRNA from 1 species
AUGAACGCUGGCGGCGUGCCUCAUACAUGCCAGUCGAGCGCACAGAUGAGGAGCUUGCUCCUCUGACGUUAGCGGCGGACGGGUGAGUAACACGUGGAUAACCUACCUAUAAGACUGGGAUAACUUCGGGAAACCGGAGCUAAUACCGGAUAAUAUAUUGAACCGCAUGGUUCAAUAGUGAAAGACGGUUUUGCUGUCACUUAUAGAUGGAUCCGCGCCGCAUUAGCUAGUUGGUAAGGUAACGGCUUACCAAGGCAACGAUGCGUAGCCGACCUGAGAGGGUGAUCGGCCACACUGGAACUGAGGCACGGUCCAGACUCCUACGGGAGGCAGCAGUAGGGAAUCUUCCGCAAUGGGCGAAAGCCUGACGGAGCAACGCCGCGUGAGUGAUGAAGGUCUUCGGAUCGUAAAACUCUGUUAUUAGGGAAGAACAAAUGUGUAAGUAACUAUGCACGUCUUGACGGUACCUAAUCAGAAAGCCACGGCUAACUACGUG